rnacentral:rRNA from 1 species
GAUGAACGCUGGCGGCGUGCCUAAUACAUGCAAGUCGAGCGAACAGAUAAGGAGCUUGCUCCUUUGACGUUAGCGGCGGGCGGGUGAGUAACACGUGGGUAACCUACCUAUAAGACUGGGAUAACUUCGGGAAACCGGAGCUAAUACCGGAUAACAUUUGGAACCGCAUGGUUCUAAAGUGAAAGAUGGUUUUGCUAUCACUUAUAGAUGGACCCGCGCCGUAUUAGCUAGUUGGUAAGGUAACGGCUUACCAAGGCGACGAUACAUAGCCGACCUGAGAGGGUGAUCGGCCACACUGGAACUGAGACACGGUCCAGACUCCUACGGGAGGCAGCAGUAGGGAAUCUUCCGCAAUGGGCGAAAGCCUGACGGAGCAACGCCGCGUGAGUGAUGAAGGGUUUCGGCUCGUAAAACUCUGUUAUUAGGGAAGAACAAAUGUGUAAGUAACUGUGCACGUCCUGACGGUACCUAAUCAGAAAGCCACGGCUAACUACGUG